rnacentral:rRNA from 1 species
AUUGAACGCUGGCGGCAGGCCUAACACAUGCAAGUCGAGCGAGCGGCGGACGGGUGAGUAAUGUAUGGGGACUGCCCGAUAGAGGGGGAUAACUACUGGAAACGGUGGCUAAUACCGCAUACCAUCGGAUUACCCAUAUGUGAUUAGCUAGUAGGUUGGGUAAAGGCUCACCUAGGCGACGAUCUCUCGCUGGUCUGAGAGGAUGAUCAGCCACACUGGGACUGAGACACGGCCCAGACUCCGACGGAGGCAGCAGUGGGGAAUAUUGCACAAUGGGCGCAAGCCUGAUGCAGCCAUGCCGCGUGUAUGAAGAAGGCCUUAGGGUUGUAAAGUACUUUCAGCGAGGAGGCGUGAACCGAAGAAGAAGCACCGGCUAACUCCGUGCCAGCAGCCGCGGUAAUAG